rnacentral:misc_RNA from 1 species
GAAAUGCGAUAAGUAAUGUGAAUUGCAGAAUUCAGUGAGAUACGGCAUCGAUGAAGAACGCACAUUGCGCCCCCUGGUAUUCCGGGGGGCAUGCCUGUCCGAGCGUCAUUGCUGCCCUCAAGCACGGCUUGUGUGUUGGGCCGUCGUCCCCCACCCCAGGGGACGGGCCCGAAAGGCAGCGGCGGCACCGCGUCCGGUCCUCGAGCGUAUGGGGCUUCGUCACCCGCUCUGUAGGCCUGGCCGGCGCCUGCCGACGACCAAAUCAAUCUCUUUCUCAGGUUGACCUCGGAUCAGGUAGGGAUACCCGCUGAACUUAA